CGGGGUGAGUAACGCGUGGAUAACCUGCCUCACACUGGGGGAUAACAGUUAGAAAUGACUGCUAAUACCGCAUAAGCGCACAGUACCGCAUGGUACAGUGUGAAAAACUCCGGUGGUGUGAGAUGGAUCCGCGUCUGAUUAGCCAGUUGGCGGGGUAACGGCCCACCAAGCGACGAUCAGUAGCCGACCUGAGAGGGUGACCGGCCACAUUGGGACUGAGACACGGCCCAA
rnacentral:rRNA from 1 species